rnacentral:rRNA from 1 species
GACGAACGCUGGCGGCGUGCUUAACACAUGCAAGUCGAACGGAAAGGCCCCUCGGGGUACUCGAGUGGCGAACGGGUGAGUAACACGUGGGUGAUCUGCCCUGCACUUUGGGAUAAGCCUGGGAAACUGGGUCUAAUACCGAAUAGGACCACGCGCUUCAUGGUGUGUGGUGGAAAGCUUUUGCGGUGUGGGAUGGGCCCGCGGCCUAUCAGCUUGUUGGUGGGGUAAUGGCCUACCAAGGCGACGACGGGUAGCCGGCCUGAGAGGGUGACCGGCCACACUGGGACUGAGAUACGGCCCAGACUCCUACGGGAGGCAGCAGUGGGGAAUAUUGCACAAUGGGCGCAAGCCUGAUGCAGCGACGCCGCGUGAGGGAUGACGGCCUUCGGGUUGUAAACCUCUUUCAAUAGGGACGAAGCGAAAGUGACGGUACCUAUAGAAGAAGCACCGGCCAACUACGUG